AGAGGAAACUCUGGCUGGGGCAGUGCGCGGAGCUCCGGCUGCUGGUGGGGAGCGGCGGCCGGAACCGCAGCGCCGGCGGCGGCUACGGCGGGAGCGGCACAACCGGCAAAAUACAAUAGAGGCAACAGCAGAAGGGAGCCCGCGGUCCUCUCCCGUAAACACACUCCGCCGCCGCCGCCUCCCCCUCGGCACCGCGCGCGGUGCUGCCUGGCGCCCGAGCCGCUCGGACUGCUAUGUAACCGCGAGACGGCGGGAGCAAGGGGGCCGGGGAGAAGAGGUGCACCCGUGGGAGGCUGUGGGGGCCAAGUUUGCGGCCACUUCGGCACGCGCUUUUCUUAGCCCCCGCUUGCCCCUUCCUGCAGCUCGGCUGGCCCAGGGGUCCUUUGCCUCCUCGCGUGCCCGGCGACCAUGGUGACGGUGGAGGAGCUGCGGGAGAUGGACUGCAGCGUGCUCAAAAGGCUGAUGAACAGGGAAGAGAACGGCGGCGGCGCGGGCGGCAGCGGCGGCCACGGCGCCCUGGGGCUGCUGAGCGGCGGCAAGUGCCUGCUGCUGGACUGCAGACCGUUCCUGGCGCACAGCGCGGGCUACAUCCGAGGCUCGGUCAACGUGCGCUGCAACACCAUCGUGCGGCGGCGGGCUAAGGGCUCCGUGAGUCUGGAGCAGAUCCUGCCCGCCGAGGAGGAGGUGCGCGCCCGCCUGCGCUCCGGCCUCUACUCGGCGGUCAUCGUCUACGACGAGCGCAGCCCGCGCGCCGAGAGCCUCCGCGAAGACAGCACCGUGUCGCUGGUCGUGCAGGCGCUGCGCCGCAACGCCGAGCGCACCGACAUCUGCCUGCUCAAAGGUGGCUAUGAGAGGUUUUCCUCCGAGUACCCAGAAUUCUGUUCCAAAACUAAGGCCCUGGCAGCCCUCCCACCUGCUGUGCCCCCCAGCACCGCGGAAUCCCUGGACGUGGGCUGCAGCUCCUGCGGAACCCCGCUGCACGACCAGGGGGGUCCUGUGGAGAUCCUUCCCUUCCUCUACCUCGGCAGUGCCUACCACGCUGCCCGGAGGGACAUGUUGGACGCCCUGGGGAUCACGGCCCUGCUGAAUGUCUCCUCUGACUGCCCAAACCACUUUGAAGGACACUACCAGUACAAGUGCAUCCCGGUGGAAGACAACCACAAGGCAGACAUCAGCUCCUGGUUCAUGGAGGCCAUCGAGUACAUCGAUGCGGUGAAGGACUGCCGCGGCCGCGUGCUGGUGCACUGCCAGGCGGGCAUCUCGCGCUCGGCCACCAUCUGCCUGGCCUACCUGAUGAUGAAGAAGCGGGUGCGGCUGGAGGAGGCCUUCGAGUUCGUCAAGCAGCGGCGGAGCAUCAUCUCGCCCAACUUCAGCUUCAUGGGGCAGCUGCUGCAGUUCGAGUCGCAGGUGCUGGCCACGUCGUGCGCCGUGGAGGCCGCCAGCCCCUCGGGGCCCCUGCGGGAGCGGGGCAAGGCCACCCCCACGCCCACGUCGCAGUUCGUCUUCAGCUUCCCGGUGUCGGUGGGCGUGCACGCGGCCCCCAGCAGCCUGCCCUACCUGCACAGCCCCAUCACCACCUCCCCCAGCUGCUAGGGCCGCGGGGAGCCCCGACCCGACCCCCGCCGCCGCCGGCUCUCCGCGGGGCUGGCGGGGACUGUUGGCGCGAGAGCCCGGCCGCCGGGCUCCCCCCCCCCCCCCCCCCGUGCCCGCCUGCGGGGCCAGCUAGAAUGGCAAUAAGGACUUCGAAUCCACCUUACGAGCCCACAACACACUCCAGCCUAGAGCAAUAACGGCUGCCUCCGCGGGCAGGGGAGACCUCGGUUUGCUUUGUGCGUCCGUGUUACUUUUCAGAUAGGAAUUUCUUACCUCAUUUUUUUAAGCAGUAAGGCUUGAAGUUAUGAAACCCACAGAUCCUGGCAAAACGUGCCCACCCGGUUUUAUUGAGGGGGGGGAGGGGCGCGGGGGUAGGAAAGGGACAAAAAGAAAACAAGUUUGCCAGAAGUGCCUGGUUCUGUGUGCUUCCUUCUCUUUUGUUCUUGUAACGGGUUUUGGUUGCGGUUCUGUUUUUUAAAGAAAUCUUACAGGAGAUGAUUUUCCUUGUGAAGUCACCAACAGGUGGAUAAUGAUGCUUAAUAAUAAAAGUAUUUAUUAAGAAGUUCUUCAGAGUAUGUAAGUGCAAGGAGCCUAGGGAUGAUGGUGAACUUGGGAUGUAUUUAUGUCCUGCCACGGUCAAGGCAGUUAGGAGCCGGACGGUAUCUCCCAGGUAUGGACCAGGUAGCGGGAGGGUCAGUGGGCACUGGUUGCCACUGAGAAGCAGGCAGGUAGGGGAAGGAUAAAAGGAA